rnacentral:rRNA from 1 species
GACAGAGGGUGCAAACGUUGUUCGGAAUUACUGGGCGUAAAGGGCGCGUAGGCGGCUUAUCAAGUCAGGCGUGAAAUUCCCGGGCUCAACCUGGGGGCUGCGCUUGAUACUGAUUGGCUUGAAUGCGGGAGAGGAUAGUGGAAUUCCCAGUGUAGAGGUGAAAUUCGUAGAUAUUGGGAAGAACACCGGUGGCGAAGGCGGCUAUCUGGCCCGUAAUUGACGCUGAGGCGCGAAAGCGUGGGGAGCGAACAGG